AGUGAACGCUGGCGGUAGGCCUAACACAUGCCGGUCGAACGGCAGCACAGUAAGAGCUUGCUCUUACGGGUGGCGAGUGGCGGACGGGUGAGGAAUACAUCGGAAUCUACUUUUUCGUGGGGGAUAACGUAGGGAAACUUACGCUAAUACCGCAUACGACCUACGGGUGAAAGCAGGGGAUCUUCGGACCUUGCGCGAUUGAAUGAGCCGAUGUCGGAUUAGCUAGUUGGCGGGGUAAAGGCCCACCAAGGCGACGAUCCGUAGCUGGUCUGAGAGGAUGAUCAGCCACACUGGAACUGAGACACGGUCCAGACUCCUACGGGAGGCAGCAGUGGGGAAUAUUGGACAAUGGGCGCAAGCCUGAUCCAGCCAUACCGCGUGGGUGAAGAAGGCCUUCGGGUUGUAAAGCCCUUUGUUGGGAAAGAAAAGCAGCAGGUUAAUACCCCGCUGUUCUGACGGUACCCAAAGAAUAAGCACCGGCUAACUUCGUG
rnacentral:rRNA from 1 species